UACUCUGCCAAGCACUUGGUACAGUGUUCUUCAAACGGUUAUUCAUCACUUUAAACAAUGGUGGAAACAGCAUUUCUAACCAUGUCCACAGUUAAAUUUGUGGGAAGCAACUUUGGAAGGAAGGAGAAAGAUCAGAAUAGCUAAGACAGAAGAGAGGUGUUAAUAGGUUCAGAUUUUGUCUGCAGAGAGAUCCCUGGAAACCUCAGUGGCUUUAAUGUGUUCCCAAAGAAAUGUUCCAAUAGAUAUUCCCUCCUCUGACAUCCAUUAGCAGUUUUGUCCUACAGAGAAGAGAUUGCAUCUUGGACUUUCUCUGCAUAUAACCCAAGCUCCUUGUAUGUUAGAUUCUCAGUCAGUGCUUCUAUUUUUGAUGAUAUUUAAUAAACAUACAUCAACUAUAAAUAUAUCUUCUCCACCCCUUCCCCUAUCUGUAAUUUAUUUUAGCAUCUGUCUUCCCAACUAGACUAUA